rnacentral:rRNA from 1 species
AUCAACGCUGGCGGCGUGCCUAACACAUGCAAGUCGAACGCGAAAGUCCCGCAAGGGAUCGGUAGAGUGGCAAACGGGUGAGUAACACGUGGGUGACCUGCCUUCGAGUGGGGGAUAACGUCCCGAAAGGGACGCUAAUACCGCAUAACAUCCCACCUUUUAAGAGGUGGACAUCAAAGCUGGGGAUCGCAAGACCUGGCGCUUGAAGAGGGGCCCGCGUCCGAUUAGCUAGUUGGUGGGGUAACGGCUCACCAAGGCAACGAUCGGUAGCCGGCCUGAGAGGGCGGACGGCCACACUGGGACUGAGACACGGCCCAGACUCCUACGGGAGGCAGCAGUGGGGAAUUGUUCGCAAUGGGCGCAAGCCUGACGACGCAACGCCGCGUGGAGGAUGAAAGACCUUCGGGUUGUAAACUACCUUUCGUAUCGAGACGAACGGACCUCCGGGUCGAAUAGCCCGGGGGA